AUGACUAAAACCGGGGAGGAAGACAUAGAUAAGCAACUGCUUGAUCAUUGGCUGAGAAGGUCCUGGCAACAACACAACAGUAUCUGCACUGAUUGUAAGUUUUUACUGACAGCUGUUGCCUCUGUUCCCUGGAACCUCCUCAAGCCAAGGAUCAGACGCAAGCCUGAGCUCUGGGCCCAUCAUCCUAGCUUGUCCUUGAAGUAUGAGGCUGGUGACUGGAAUAACUGUGUUUCUUACCUUGGACCAUGUCACCUAUGAACAUGACAACCCCCACUUCCUGUUUGAAGGAGUCACACAGGAACCAGGUACUAUAUGUUUAUGUGCUGCCAGGCACACAGAGACACUGAACUCUCAGCUUGAGGCAGAACUGAGCACAUUUGUGCAGGGGAAUGCUGCUAAUGCUGCUCUCCAGUCUGCCCUGAGUGUUCCUGGCCUUCAUCUUCUCUGGUAGGUAUUCUAAAAGAGAAGCAAGCAUCUUAUGAUUUCAGUUUGUAUUUUUUCAGUCUAAUUCCUAUACUAUUUUAUUCACUGCUCCAUCUCUGUUUUCUGAUUUUUCCCACAGGAUCCAGUGUAGCCCAGACAGUUACUCAAGACCAGCCAGACAUUGCCAGUCAAUUUGGGGAGGUAGUCACCCUGAACUGUCGCUAUAAGACACGUCAGAGCAGUUACAUUUUUUGGUAUAAACAACUUCCCAGUGGAGAGAUAAUUUACCUUAUUCUUCAGGGUUCUUCUACCUGCAAUAAAUGCAAGAACCCUAUAAUGCAACAGAUGUCCCCUACUCUGUAAAUUUUCAGAGAUCACAUAAAUCCCUCAGCCUCACCAUUUCAGACUUACAGCUGGAAGACUCUGCAAAGUACUUCUGCACUCUCUGGGGACUCAGUGCUUGAAGUAAUAGAAAAAGCUAAACAAAAUCCCCAGAGCUUAAUAAGAGAGUGUCCCCCUGCUGCAGGACCCAGGCUGGAAUACACACCUGCAGACCCCAGACAAGAAAUGGUAGUCCUGUGGUUGCUUGUCUGUGGUCUGGAUCAGAAGAUUUAAUUCUAAAUAAAAGCUCCUUCUAUGUCAUUGGAAACAGGUGUCCAGAGUAACUUUCUACUAAUACAUUCUCCUCUUGAAUUUUUGACUUUAAGUCAGUCAUACAGAACAUGUGUAAAGUUGUCUAAAUUUGAAAACUUGCCCCAUAAUAAUAUAAAAUGGCAGUUUCACCUAAAGAUCCUCACAUCACAAAUCUGGGUUUAGAAGCUGAAAUCGUCAUGAAACUAAUUUCCUUAAGUCCUCUCCUCUCAGAUUUUGUGUCGGGGCACAAUUAGAGAAAGACCACCAGUGAUGUAGAGUAAGAGAUUAUUUAUAAG
rnacentral:lncRNA from 1 species